AGCGAACGCUGGCGGCAGGCCUAACACAUGCAAGUCGAGCGCCCCGCAAGGGGAGCGGCAGACGGGAGAGUAACACGUGGGAACGUACCCUUCAGUUCGGAACAACCCAGGGAAACUUGGGCUAAUACCGGAUACGUCCGUAAGGAGAAAGAUUUAUCGCUGAAGGAUCGGCCCGCGUCUGAUUAGCUAGUUGGUGAGGUAACGGCUCACCAAGGCGACGAUCAGUAGCUGGUCGGAGAGGAUGAUCAGCCUCACUGGGACGGAAACACGGCCCAGACUCCUACGGGAGGCAGCAGUGGGGAAUAUUGGACAAUGGGCGCAAGCCUGAUCCAGCCAUGCCGCGUGGAUGAUGAAGGCCCUAGGGUUGUAAAGUCCUUUCGGCGGGGAAGAUAAUGACGGUACCCGCAGAAGAAGCCCCGGCUAACUUCGUGCCAGCAGCCGCGGUAA
rnacentral:rRNA from 1 species